CCCUUAGAUGUUCUGGGCUGCACGCGCGCUACACUGAUGCGUUCAACGAGUUUAUGACCUUGCCCGAUAGGGUUGGGUAAUCUUUUUAAAUCGCAUCGUGAUGGGGAUAGAUUAUUGCAAUUAUUAAUCUUCAACGAGGAAUUCCUAGUAAGCGCGAGUCAUCAGCUCGUGCUGAUUACGUCCCUGCCCUUUGUACACACCGCCCGUCGCACCUACCGAUUGAAUGGUCCGGUGAAGCCUCCGGAUUGCACAGGCCCCGUGUCUGGCGCGAGAAGUUGGCUAAACCUUACCAUUUAGAGGAAGGUGAAGUCGUAACA
rnacentral:rRNA from 1 species